rnacentral:lncRNA from 1 species
AGAGAGGGAUGAAGAGAGAUUGAUUGAUGGAGACAUGAGGCCUUGCUGUGUUGCCCAGGUUGGAGCGCAGCGGCUAUUCUAAGGCAUGGUUACAGUGCACUGCAGCCGGAAAACUCCUGGUCUCAAGCCCUCCUUCCGCCUCAGCCUCCCAAGUAGCUAGGACUAGAGGUGCAUGCCACCACACCUAGCUUGAUUUUUUUUUUUUAAUCUGGAAAAAUUUCUGGAAGAUUGAUUCAUUUCUGAAUAUUGAACCAACGUGGCAAUCCUGGAAUAAAUCCCCCCUUUAUAUACUGUUGAAUUCACUUUGCUAAAAUUUUGUUUAAAUUUUUUCGUCAUUAUGAGUAUUGGCCCGUAGUUUUGUUAUAAUGUCUUUUAUCUGACUUUAAUAUUAAAGUAAUGCUGGUCUCAUAAAGUGGGUUGGAAAAUGUAUCCUUCUCUUCAAUUUUCUUGAAUAAUUUGUGUGGAAUUGCUAUUAUUUCUUCUUUCAAUGUUUGGUAGAAUUCGCUAGAUCUGUCUUAUUGGGAAGAUUUUUAACUACGCAUUCAAUUUCUUUAACACAUAUAGAACUAUUCGGGUAACCUACUUCUCGAGAGAACUCUGCUAGUUUGGGUCUUUCAAGGAAUUUGUGCAUUUUGUCUGGGUUGUCAAACUUAUUGGCAUAACGUUGUUCACAAUUGUGUAGGGGAAACUAUUCGUGCUUUCUUCUGCUCUCACACCAUGACAGUCAUCAACACAGAAGCCUUCGGUGACCAAAU